ensembl:lncRNA
GGGAGGGGGAGUGCGCAUGCGCGGGGAGCGCAGCGGUGGAGGGCUGCGGGAGCGGAGCGGGCAGAGCGCGGUGUAACGCGACGUGACGGAGGGACUGUAUGGCAGAUACAAACAGGGCUGGGAUGGGAAGUCAUAGAUAAAGGAAGCACGGCAAAAAAAAAAAAAAAAAAAAAGAGGAGGUGCGAGCCAGAAACGGGAGCUGCGAUGGAAAGUAAUAAAUGCACGAGGUGGGUUGUGGAAAGCAAGGGAUGCAUGCCGAAAAGCGGGGCUGCAAUGCAAGGUGAUGGAUUAAGGGAUUGCACAUAAAGAAAUAAGCAAAUAAAACAUACGGUACGAAGGAAGAAAGGGGGACUGUUGCAAAAAAGGGGGGCUAUGCUACAAAAGGAAUAGGAGUAGGAAAAAAAAUGGAGCACGCUGUGAAAUGUAAAGGGCUGCCGUGCAGAAAUGGGUGCGGGGCAAAAGGCCUCGAGGUUCUGCCCGCUCCUCUCCAUCCAAGGCCAGGAGAAGGCAAACCCAGCGCCGUCCCUCACUGCAGUCAGCACGUAACAAAGUCAUUGCGGUGCGGGCAGACCGGGCCCUGCGUGGCAGAGCCUUUUAUUAGCCUAUAGCGCUGUUUAUCUGCAACGACUCCAAAGUUCAGUGCUGGAUGAGCCCCGCGGGUUGGCUGUGCUCCAGGCUAAGGCAAUGGAAGGAGCUCACCACAUCUCGCUCCCUGUCGGCCGUGCUCGCCGUGCUUACCCAGCCCUUCCCCUGACCAAACUGCCCUUUGAGUUGGAAGGUGCCCAUAAGGAUCGAGUCCAGCACACCGUCCCGGCCGUGGAGCUAUAGGUCACUUCCCUUUGCAAAUCUCUCCAUUUAAUCAGCCCUCUGACGCACGUCGGUCUGAGCCUCGGCAAACCUGAGCCUUAUCCCCGGCUCUGCCUGUAAUCCCACUGUAGCCCCGUGCCUCAGUUUCCCCCGUGCUGGUGGCUGUGAAGCUGCUCUGCCCAAUGGAGAUAGACUGAUUAAAAGUAUAAAAAAGCAAUAACCUCUUGCAUGCAAACCAUCUAUUAGUUAAACGUGUGACCAAGCCACGCACACGCAAGGAAAAGCACUGCAACGUGCUCUAUCAUACAUUUCUCCAUGGAAAUGGGCUCAGCUCUUUGUUUUAACCAGCCAGAAGCCCCAGGAGCAGGAACUGCUUGUCUAUACCUUCCUUAAGGGAUUCCAUUCUGGAGAGAAAGGAACCUCUCCUUCCCCAAACCAUGCACCAGCUGGCUUUUCCACACCAAGCUUUCCCCUAGCCAGGUAAGCAUGCCUCCUGUGACAGCACUGCCAAUCAUUUUCCUCCCUCCCUGCCAGGGAAGCACCUCCGAGGGACAAGAAAAAGCCACGCAGUCUCCCAGGUCCUUCAAAGAAACCUCACACAGGGUCACUGCUGUCACACUGCGGGCAGCCUGGCUGGAAGGACAUCCACAGGAAAGGAGCUGUCACAGACAAAGCCUGCAGACGGAAGAAAAGGUUGAAAUUAGUACUUAAAAUGCUCCGUUUACAUGAAAAGCCAGCUGAAACAGGAGCGCAAAGCCCGGCCCAUGGUGCAGAACAAAGCUCUGCAUCGUUCCAGUGCUUCUAGUGUGCUUUGGGGGGAAGCUGUUCCCAGUUGCAACACACAGCCACGCUUGGGCAGUGCUGCUGUAACCAGAUCCCUCUCUCAUCUGAAGCUUUUCAAGAACACAGAUUGGAGAGAGCGUGACCUGCGUCUCAGAAGGCCAAGGGGACCUCAGUAAAGGAGGUGGCAGCAACCGGUGUCGUCCUGGUCACUGCACGAGGACCUGUGUGCAGCCUGCUGGCCUGUCCUGCUGACAGCAAGCUUGGGAGCAAGCAUCAAAGGUCAACACUUGAUCCUGCACCCCUCCUACUCAAACGGCCAAGAACAGGAGACUCCAUCCAGCUGCUCUCCAUCACCCAUCAUCUCACCCACCAGCACACGCCAGGGCAGAGCCCAGGGCUCCGCAGGGCACUGUUUAAUUGCUCACCCACACGGGUAGCGCUCCAAGUCUUCACGAUGUGUUAACUCUGUCCCUUUGAGUCACUGCAUCAGCUGUACCAGGAUUCUCUGACUCCUUUUCAAGCACUGCUCCCAGCCAGACUCCAUGCUGUUCUCAUCCACACAACGCAGGGGAUGAGAGCUGCUGCAAAAUAGUGCCACUGUGGCCAAUGGCUGAGCAUCAGUUACCUUCUGCAGCACAGCAAACGCAGCUCAGGAGCUCCUGGAAUUUGGUUUAUGCUGAACCCAUUUGUGUAUAUAUAUAUAUAAAAGCACACUUCCGUUUUCAAAAUACGUUGCUACCCAAAAAUAGAUGUUUCUUCAACAGCAGAGCACGGAGCAAUUGCUAAGCCAUGCAAGCAAAACACCAUGUACAGCCAGAGGACUGCAAAAGAACUCACUCUUGCUUACUGCAUAGUAGAAUUUUUUGGAAUUAAUACCUAAUUUUUCACCCACUGUGGAAAAAAAAAUAGGAACAUUACAGCGCCAGCUUCUGCCCUGGUUCCUUUUGCCCCCAAACAUCUCUGCAAUCACAUCCUGAAGUGCUGUACCUGCUAGUUUUUUUUUCCAAACAUGAAGCAUUUCAUCCUCUAGGCAGAGGGCUUCAGUCUUCCAGGCUGUGAAACAGAACAUUUCAGGGGAAUAAGAUGAAAAAAAAGAAAAGCCCCCCAGCCCCACCUGAUUUGACUACUGCAAAGGAUACAAACCUCCUGGGAGUGGAGAGAUCACUGUAUCCUGUAUGUUGCCAUGUUUAACACACAGCUGCAGUGCGUUACCUCUCCAUGAAAAGGCCCACGUGCAAUGCCCAGCAGGAAUGACAGAAAUCACGCUGGAGAAGUCACAGGACAAGGGUUUAAAACAGUGCAACUCCGUGAGUUGAAGGCUGUUCUUCUUCACAUCCCCAAUCACAUCUGAUUGUCAUGCCCAGAGCAAAAUAAAUAGCAAGCCAGCUAUCUUCAAUGCUUUUGAUUCAUCAUGUUGGCACCGAAGUCACUUCACUGUGUUCUAAAUGAAGCAGACUGAGCGCACGCUUGUGCCCUUAUUGCUCUCUCACUUCAGGGAAAGGCAAAGAAGAAAAGUACUUGUGCGUGGAGAUGUAUUUGAAAGGAGAACAGUUUCUUGGCUAGCUUUGGCUUUCAUUUUAUAUCACCAAUAGCACUGCAUAACACAAUGCACGCUUAUGCUUUUUUACCUCUUUGGCAUAAUAGGAAAGCUUAAAAGGCUGCAGUGUCCCCCCGCUGGAAGAGGAGCAGAGGUUUCUAUCAUUCACUUGCUUUUUGCACCAGAAAUUCAGGUUUUGUUUAGCUUGGAAACCUCACAGAUGUCGUUCUGGUAACUCUUCAAUCCAAAGCGUGUGGCGGUAGAAGUCCAACACUCCCAAGGGAGCCCUCAGUUAUCCCAAACUGCCACAGAAAAGUAGUACAAUUCCCACAGGGUACAGUGGCCUGAAAAACAUGAAGGCAUCCCAAACAGUUUGUUGGUCCCCUGUACCUGCAGGCCAGCAGAGGCCACCAAUCAGCACCAGGCAUAUCUCCAAACACAUCCCUAACAAGAGGAUAAAAUGAACGUCCUAUCCAGGCUGGUUUAAUUCAAACACAGAUGAGCCUUUUUAGGAACACAAGCAAUUGGCAGUUUUCACAUACACCACGCACCAGCUUCUCCCAGCUCUCCAUCACACUAUGAAAUCUGGCCUGGACAUCUCAUACUUACCCCUCAGCUAAAUUUUUGCCAGAAAAAGCAUAACGUCACAGCUGUGCUCCAAAUCACUGCAGCAACCAGGCAAUGAAAUCACCACUCAGAAAGUGUUGCUCCAGCUUAGGAGGGCAGGGCCCCUCCAUUGGUCAGCCAGUGGCACUCACGCAACACCAUAGCCAAUAUUCUCAUUGAUGAAGGCUAAUGAGGAGGUGCCAAUACCUGCUCUCCUUGCUCACAAGUGACUGCUUGGACUGUGCACAUUGAAGUCAUGGUGACCUAGGAGAGAUCAGAACCAGCUGCUUUUGAUUACCUUCUGCCACACAACAAAAGAAACUACACCCAGAAAGGAAGCAUACUCCUUCCUUCUGGCAAGUAAGCACAACUUUGAGGAAUUGAGUAAUAAAGCUGUGGCAUCUCGUGGGAGCAAGCUCACAGGAAAAAUAGUUCAAGGGGACCCUGAUCUUCAGCAACACCAUUUAGCACGUUGCAACGCUCCCUCUGACGUCUGUGCAUUACAUUUGCCUGAGCAAAAUGAGAAGUAAUAAACUAUUGCGUGUAGGUCCGUUUGCUGGUAGGGAAAGGGGCCCCACAGUUUUACUCCCUGGAGGCACCAGCUCUCCCCACCCCUUUUGUGUGUAUUUUUUUUUUUUUUAAUGUGCCACACAUCAGCACAAUGCUGACAACUGCAUUGUAUGCUUUUCUGCCUAUGCAGCACUUCAAGAACACACAACUCUGGAAGGUUUUUGAAACGGGAAAGGGGGAGGGAGCUGUCCUUUGCUAUCUCAUUUUAAUUGCACAGCUCGCUCCUCUACAUGACCACAGGGAAGGGAUAAAAAUAAACGGUUAAAACCAGUACUGUUUUUAUCAUCCAAAAGGGUCAGACUAAGUCUUCUCACGAGAUACAGUCAGUUGUGCUUAGAAUAAAAGCUACCACGAGCAAGGAUAAAAAAGCACAGGGUUUCUUCUCUGGCACUGGAACCUCCCCUGUCCUCCUCACUGUUGUUUCGGUCUCCUCCUUUCCACACCUUCCAGUGCAGAGAUACUGAAAAGGGAAUAGGGAUGGAAGGGGACCAACAGCCAGCCCUCCAGCUUUUGCACCUGCCAGCAGCAGCCUGAUGGAGCCUGGUGGCACUGCUCCAGGAGCAGCGACCCGAGCACAUUACCUCCCAAAUAAACGAAUGGUUAACAUCUCACACACAGCAGCACAUGCAGCCUCAUUUAAUGAUGAAGAUGGCUAAUCCACAGCCUUUUUUUUUUUAAUUAUUAUUAUUUUUUUUUAAAAUAAGGCCACAAGGCAGAGCUUCUUCCAGAAGCAGCAGCCUUUUCUUUUGAAAAACAGUACUGGGUGGGAAGGGGAAGCCCUGGGACCCACUCAUGCCCUCCAGAAGUAACCACAGAAACAUUGUGGCUUUCUGUGGCGGUGUACAGCACACACACAGCCAGAGCACUGUGCCUUACCCUCCUCAGCAAGGCCAGUCCCCACUGCCCAGCUUGCUGCAUGUUUACAAUACUCACAGAGAAGCUAUCUGCUGUAGAGUGGGAGUUACACAAACAAUCCUGCAUUUCCCUGGGAGGAAAAAAAUAUAUAUACAAAAAUUAGGGCAGAAGGCAGCUUUCACCCACAACAUUGCAACAUUCCCCUGCACUACUCGGGUCAGGGAGGGGAUGCAGGGUUGUGUAAUUGAAGUGGAGCAUCUGCAUUAGCUCAGUGGGCCCUGUCCCCUGGGCAAUGUCACGUGGACUCGCAUGGAGACACAUUAGUGCUCGCAGCCUGCCUUAAUGCAAAGCUGUGGUCAGACCGCAGCGGAGCCAGCACUAAAGGAGGUCACCUGGGGACUACAAAAAAGCAAUGAAUUAAAAAAUAAUAAUAAUAAUAAUCUAUAAGCAGAUGUUUACUGACAAGCAGGCAAGUCCGAAUCCUCAAUCUGCAAAAAGCAAGGAGGAGCACAGAGCAGGCUGAGAAAUAGCAGCCUGGUUCCCAAGACAAAGACAAAUAUCUGCAUCUACAGACAGCACCAAACAGAUUGAGGUUACAGCUUUUACCAGCCUCCCUCCUCCCGGCUUUGCAGCCCUGAAACCCACCGGAUCUGCCGUUAUUGGAGCACACACCGACUGCAGCUCUCCCUGAUUUUUGGUGGCACCGUGGAAAUACUUACCCACCUCACAGGCAGGGCUGUGAAAGCUUACAUUUGUGAGAGUUUGCAAAUGGUUUUGAAAGCCUUCCAAGGAAGGUGCUGUAGAAUCGUAAAUCCUUCCCAUUAUUAAUAAAAUGGAGCUAUUGUUCCAGCUCUAAUCGAGACUUGUCUCCAGCUGGGCAAAUUUAAAAUGCAGUUCAAAGCAUACACACACACACACACACACAAAACGAUCAUAAGGAAGCUGCAACAUGGGCUGAAAAUAAUAAUUAAAUAAAAAUAAUAAAAAACAAUCACUGUAGCAGCAAGCUGUUCUUUGGAGGGGGGGAUAAAAAAAAAAAAAUGAGGCUGCUAUGUAAGAUGAAUUCCAAGCAGCAGCAUAGCAGGGUGGGGGGAAGCUCCCUCCCACUGCCUGGGAAAGGUCACUUCUGCCCUAAGCAGCAGAUCGGAGCUGGGGCACAGUGCAUGCAAGUGAGCCCAGCCUCAUCCAUCUCCAUCAGGAGACAUCUCUGCUUUUAAUUUAUUUAGCAAAGGGGGAGGAAACGGAGUGUGUGUGUGCGUGGGGGGGGGGGGGGAAGGAAAAAAAACAACUUGCAAACACCUCCCAGCACCCUCUGCAAGGAUGGGGAAAUGUAGCGAGGGGGAGAGGCUUGGAAAGCGUCCUGAACCAAAGAGAGAGGGAGGGGGGAAGAGAAAGAGAGAGAGGGAGGUGGUGCAUCCUCCGCAUCCUCCUCCUCCUCCACGCCUGCCCGGCUGCGGCAAAGCUCCGCAGUAGGUGCUCCCCUCCCCCGUGCAUUUCCUUUGCUGUAGAAACUUCUGGAAUCAGCAGCCGAGCUGGGGAGAGGAAAGCAGAGCAACCCUGCUGCCCGCAGAGGGGGGAGAAAAAAAAAAGCGAGCUGAGCCAUAGAGCAGGCAAUAAAAGGGAGAGGAAUGCACAGCAGCGGGGCACGCACGUCGCUCCGUGCAUCACGUAGGGCAGCCCGCGGGGCUGGAAAUAAAGCACAAAAGCACACAAAUGGUGGUGUGUGCGGCGCUGGAUAGUGGGACAAGGAGCUGAGCCCUCCUCCCGGAGCUGCACUAAGCCCUGCCACUCAGUUCAGCUCAUCCGUCCUCAUUUCGGUGCAAUGAAUUCAGUGCCUGCCCGACUGCACUGGCAGAGUCAGCUGCCUUCUUCUUUUUUUUUUUUUCUUUUUUUUAAAUAAUUAAUAUUGCUUUCCUUUUUGGUUCUGUUUCACUGCUUUAUUUUUUACUUUUUAUUUUUUUAUCCUUUAAUUAAGAAAUCUUUCCCCAACAUCCCAAGGGAAAUCUACACCUCUGUGGAACAAAUAAAGCAUUCAGGCACCAAUCUUCACCACGGACUGAUCAAAUGGGCGGCUGGUCGCAUUUUGCUUGUUUUUACCUUUUUUAACUAUUAUUUUUCGUCUUUUUUUUUUUUCUUUUGGGUGUGUGCGUGUAAUUUUUUUUCCCUCUUGCUCUUAGGACAGUAGAAAGCCAAUGGAGGAAAACAAAGUGCUGGCUCCUGCUCGCCGCUCCCCAGCAGCUUUCACCUCGGAGGCAGUGAUGGCAGAGGGAAGGCACGCCAGGAAUCCAGCUCAGCUCUCCCUCAGUCCACCGCCUGCUUUUCACAUUUCUCACGGCUGAUGGGGCCGUUUCCAACCCGUUUCCCUUUACAGCCUUGCUUAUGCUGCACCAAAAUCUUCAGCUUGCAAAUGAAACCUGCGAAAGGCCUUUUUUGUUACAAAGGAAAACCGUGAUCGCUGGUUUAAAAAUAUUACGGUCGCGCCUGUCAGCUCCUUUUAGCAACCCUAGAGCUGCAAGAAAGAUAACCUUUGUGGUUUUUUGUCCUACAUUCUCAUGUUCCUGGGAGCAGGGCACGGUGUCGGAUGCCUUCUCUGGGAAAGACCAGGGAAAUUUUAU